rnacentral:rRNA from 1 species
UACGAAGGGGGCUAGCGUUGCUCGGAAUUACUGGGCGUAAAGCGCACGUAGGCGGAUUGUUAAGUCGGGGGUGAAAUCCUGGAGCUCAACUCCAGAACUGCAUCCGAUACUGCGUGGCUAGAGGUAGGUAGGGGAGAUCGGAAUUCCUGGUGUAGCGGUGAAAUGCGCAGAUAUCAGGAGGAACACCGGUGGCGAAGGCGGAUCUCUGGGCCUUACCUGACGCUCAGGCACGAAAGCUAGGGGAGCGAACAGG